rnacentral:rRNA from 1 species
UACGGAGGGUGCAAGCGUUAGGAGGAAUCACUGGGCGUAAAGGGCGCGUAGGCGGCCUAGCAAGUCUGGUGUGAAAGCCCAGGGCUCAACCCUGGAAGGGCACUGGAAACUGUUAGGCUUGAGUUCCGGAGAGGAGGGGGGAAUUCCCGGUGUAGCGGUGAAAUGCGUAGAUAUCGGGAGGAAUACCGGUGGCGAAGGCGCCCCUCUGGACGGAAACUGACGCUGAGGCGCGAAAGCGUGGGGAGCAAACAGG